GGUCGGUGAUGUCCUGGCAUGUAUUAGCUGAAUGCUAACUUGAUGCAAAUUCUCAAGUGAUGCUGAGACCUU
ensembl:snoRNA Snord45b small nucleolar RNA SNORD45